GCAGCAGCAACAUUUGGGGGAUAUUGGACUGUGACAAACCCCAUCCGCUGUGCUCUCCAGCAUCAGCAAAGCAACUUGUAUCUACAUAUUUCAAAACGAAGAAGUGCUGAUUACCAUAGACACUCCUGACAUACAGAUAAGAGAAGAUUCUGCUGUCC